CCCGUGCUGGGGCGCGUCUGUGCGCCUGCGCUGGCGCUGUGCCUUUGGCGGGGCGGAGCUGCGUUCUCUUCAGCACAGACCUGGAGAGCAUCGCGAGGGCGGAGCUCCGUUUUCCUCUGCAGAGACUUCCGGGGUAUUGUGAUGACGGAGCAGCAUUCUACUCAGCACAGACCCGGGGUCUCCCUCUGUUGUCCAAUGCUGGAUUGUAGUAGUGCUAUCACAGCUGACUGCAGCCUCAACCUUCCAUGCUGAAGCGAUCCUCCCACCUCAUCCUCCCACGUGGCUGAGACUAUAGGUGCUUGCCACUAUGCCCAACUAAUAUUUGGAAUUUUCGUAUACGUGGAUUCCAGAGGGGUGACAGCGAAACGUGGGAACAUCCAGUUUCAGGAAAACAAGCUUAACACGCCCACUGAUUCUGCAUUAUGCUCCUACCUCCCAGCAGCCUCUCCAGGCACAGAAUUUUCUCCAGUCAGCCUCUAGAGACCAAGCUCAUGACUCACAAUGGCCUAUUUAGGCCCAUUCCCUACCUCACGGCAGUCUCCGCAGAUGAGGCUACUGCCUCACAACAGCCUCCACAGGCACAGCUCCAUCGUUACAAUGGCCUCUUUAGACCCAGCUCCUGCCUCCCAGCGUUCUCUCCAGGCCCUGAAGUUUCUCGGGUCUCCCUCUGUUGUCCAAGGCUGGAGUGUAGUAGUGCUAUCACAGCUGACCACAGCCUCAACCUUCCAGGCUGAAGCGAUCCUCCCACCUCAACCUCCCACGUGGCUGAGACUACAGGUGCUUGCCACUAUGCCCAACUAAUAUUUGGAAUUUUCGUAUACGUGGAUUCCAGAGGGGUGACAGCGAAACGUGAGUGGGACCAUCCAGUUUCAGGAAAACAAGCUUAACACACCCACUGAUUCUACAUUAUGCUCCUACCUCCCGGCAGCCUCGCCAGGCCCAGAACUCUCUCCAGUCAGCCUCUACAGACCAAGCUCAUGACUCACAAUGGCCUAUUUAGGCCCAUACCCUACCUCACGGCAGUCUCCGCAGAUGAGCCUACUGCCUCACAACAGCCUCCACAGGCACAGCUCCGUCGUUACAAUGGCCUCUUUAGACCCAGCUCCUGCCUCCCAGCCUUCUCUCCAGGCCCUGAAGUUUCUCCGUGGGACCAUCCAGUUUCAGGAAAACAAGCUUAACACGCCCACUGAUUCUACAUUAUGCUCCUACCUCCCGGCAGCCUCGCCAGGCCCAGAACUCUCUCCAGUCAGCCUCUACAGACCAAGCUCAUGACUCACAAUGGCCUAUUUAGGCCCAUACCCUACCUCACGGCAGUCUCCGCAGAUGAGCCUACUGCCUCACAACAGCCUCCACAGGCACAGCUCCGUCGUUACAAUGGCCUCUUUAGACCCAGCUCCUGCCUCCCAGCCUUCUCGCCAGGCCCUGAAGUUUCUCCGGUCUCCCUCUGUUGUCCGAGGCUGGAGGGUAGUAGUGCUAUCGCAGCUGACUGCAGCCUCAACCUUCCAGGCUGAAGCGAUCCUCCCAUCUCAACCUCCCACGUGGCUGAGACUACAGGUGCUUGCCACUACGCCCAACUAAUAUUUGGUAUUUUCGUACACGUGGAUUCCAGAGGGGUGACAGCGAAACGUGGGACCAUCCAGUUUCAGGAAAACAAGCUUAACACGCCCACUGAUUCUACAUUAUGAUUCUUCAGGCCCAGCAUCUGCCUCACUGUGGACCCCACAAGCCAAGCUCCCAACCUUUCAGCAGCUUCUACACACCCAGCUCCCGCCUGCCAGUGGCCUCUUCAGGCCCAUGGGGCUCAUUCCUCACAACAGCCUUUCCAGUCCCAGUUUUUCCCUUCUGGCGGCCUCUCCGGGCUGAGAACCUCCUCAAGUCGGCCUCUCCAGACUCACUUGCACCCUCCAGGCGUCCUCUCCGGGCCAAGCUCCUCUUCCUGGCUGCGUCUCCAGGCCUGACUCCUGCCUCUCAACAACCUCUUUGGACUCAGUGCCUACCCAUCUCCUGGCGUCCUUGGUCGGCCCACAGCUUCCUCAAGCCAAGCUCCCCAGGCCCAGGUCAGGCCUCACGGUGCCCCCUCCACGAUGAGCUCCUGCCCUCCAAUGGCACCUGCAGGACCGAAAUGGUCUCCGGUCGGUGGGCUCCUCCACGCCAAGCUUGGGCCUCCCGGUGACCUCUGCAGGCCCAAGUUGUCCUGAAGUCGGCAUCUCCCAGCCAUGCCUCCCAGCAAGUAAGCAAGCUCUUUUGGCUCAACUCCUGCCCAGCUCCCAACCGCCUUUGUAGGUCCCGAACUUUCUCCAGCCAAGUUCUUUGGGCCUCAUUCCUGCUGCCCGGUGGCCUGUACGGGCCCAGCAAUGGUUGGAGAACGGCCUCUGCAGGUCCCGCUCUUGCCUCCCAGGGGCCUCUCCAGGCCCAGCUCUUGCCCCCACGGCGGCCACCUGGGGCCAAGUCCCUGCCUGCCUCCCAGCAGCCCGCAUGCGGCCCAGCUCCUCCCUCACGGUGGCCUGUUGAUGCCCAUGCCUCUGGUACCCUGCCCAGAGGCAUGAGCCCCUGCCACACACUGGCUCCUCCCACGCUGAGAGAGGUCAGCGUGAGCCCUUGUCUCACACCGGCCCCUCCCAUCCUGAGAGAGGUCAGCGUGAGCCCCUUGACUCACACUGGCUCCUCCCACGCUGAGAGAGGUCGGCGUGAGCCCUUGCCUCACACCGGCCCCUCCCAUGCUGAGAGAGGUCGGCGUGAGCCCUUGACUCACACCGGCCCCUCCCACGGUGAGAGAGGUCAGCGUCAGCCCCUUGCCUCACACCGGCCCCUCCCACGCUGAGAGAGGUCGGCGUGAGCCCUUGCCUCACACCGGCCCCUCCCACGCUGAGAGAGGUCAGCGUCAGCCCCUUGCCUCACACCGGCCCCUCCCACGCUGAGAGAGGUUGGCGUGAGCCCCUUGCCUCACACCGGCCCCUCCCACGCUGAGAGAGGUCGGCGUGAGCCCUUGCCUCACACCGGCCCCUCCCACGCUGAGAGAGGUCAACAUGAGCCCCUUGCCUCACACCGGCCCCUCCCACGCUGAGAGAGGUCGGCGUGAGCCCUUGCCUCACACCGGCCCCUCCCACGCUGAGAGAGGUCAACAUGAGCCCCUUGCCUCACACCGGCCCCUCCCACGCUGAGAGAGGUCGGCGUGAGCCCUUGCCUCACACCGGCCCCUCCCACGCUGAGAGAGGUCGGCAUGAGCCCCUUGCCUCACACCGGCCCCUCCCACGCUGAGA